rnacentral:rRNA from 1 species
CCUACGGGGGGUAGCAGUGAGGAAUAUUGGUCAAUGGACGAGAGUCUGAACCAGCCAAGUAGCGUGAAGGAUGACUGCCCUAUGGGUUGUAAACUUCUUUUAUAUGGGAAUAAAAUGUUCCACGUGUGGGAUUUUGUAUGUACCAUAUGAAUAAGGAUCGGCUAACUCCGUGCCAGCAGCCGCGGUAAUACGGAGGAUCCGAGCGUUAUCCGGAUUUAUUGGGUUUAAAGGGAGCGUAGGUGGAUUGUUAAGUCAGUUGUGAAAGUUUGCGGCUCAACCGUAAAAUUGCAGUUGAAACUGGCAGUCGUGAGUACAGUAGAGGUGGGCGGAAUUCGUGGUGUAGCGGUGAAAUGCUUAGAUAUCACGAAGAACUCCGAUUGCGAAGGCAGCUCACUGGACUACAACUGACACUGAGGCUCGAAAGUGUGGGUAUCAAACAGGAUUAGAUACCCCUGUAGUC